CCUCCUUCUUUUUCCCUCUUUCUCCUUCUUUCCUUUUUUUCCCUUUUUCUUCUUUUGUCUGGCCCGUCAGCAGUGAAAGGCUGGGGCUCAACCCCGGGACUGCUUUUGAAACUGUCAAACUAGAGUACAGGAGAGGAAAGCGGAAUUCCUAGUGUAGCGGUGAAAUGCGUAGAUAUUAGGAGGAACACCAGUGGCGAAGGCGGCUUUCUGGACUGAAACUGACACUGAGGCACGAAAGCGUGGGGAGCAAACAGG
rnacentral:rRNA from 1 species